CAAUCCUUCUGGAUACCGCUCGCCCACUGCUGCAGGAGUCGGAGGUGUGGCCUGAAACUCCACAUUGUGCACAAGUUUGCCGGCCACGAGAGCUUUGCGAGCCGUGGCCAUAUCUCUGACAUUGGAAGCACUGUUGGGGGUUAACCAUCAAGAAGUUGGCAUCUGUCAAGUCAACUAAGUGUUCAUCGAACAAUGUGCCUAUACAGUGAUGGGGACAUCACCAAAAGGUUUCAAGCUGGAUAGUUUUUCAUAUUGUUCCCUGUCUCUGACUUAAUGAAGAGGUCUCUACUGACCAUUUUCGUUGCUUUGUAACCUGUUCCAAGUGUGUCUAUUAGGCACCUUGAAACUAGGAACAGGGAAAGUUUUCUGACAGGUUUUGCUGAUGUGUCACUAUGGAUAACGUGGUAGCAUGGAAAGUUGUCAUUGUUGAGUUGGAAAAGUUGAAAACUUGCUUCGGUGUGCACCCUCUUCAGGGAGCAAUCAAUGGAGAGUUGCAAGUUUUUGGCCAUAAAAUAUGAAUUUUGUUCAGUAGUGGUGGCAGCCACCUACCACCGAGCCCAACGAGGGAACACUGCAAGACAUGAAGAAAUGGCUUGCAUACACCAGCUGUACACCGCCAAUAUAACCUGAAGUGACGUAUCCCAAGGUGGGGUGACCACAUGAGAUUAACCCUUGCUGCUAGGAAGAACUAGAAGUAAACAAAAGAGAGAAGUAGACAGGACCAAGAAAAAGUGAGUGAUAAAGAUGAAGAUCUAGCUAAACAGAGAUGGGAAAAGGCGACUGCCGAUUUCCCCCUGAGUGGG